AUGGAGACAGGUAGGUCAGACAGAGAGCUCUGAAACAGAUGCCAGCCCCAAGAGCCUAAUGAAUGUGUGGGAGCUGGCGGGGAGAGCUGAAUUAGUCAACAUGGAGCACUUUGGAAGUAGGUAGUUGGACUGUAAAGUCAAUUUAUAUCUCCCUAUUUCAUAAAAAGUUCUGAAUGUAUAUAAAAAGCAUUGAUAAAUAAAUAUUCUAGAAGCAUGAAUAAAUUCCCCCACAUGAACGAUAUUGGCCUUUCUCACAGCAUGGCAGCCUUGAGGUAUUAAACUUCGUAAAAGGAAGGUAAAGGCUCCGGUUUGAGUUUUCUAGUAAAAGACAGGUUGCGUGAACUUUUCUGACCUAGCCUCAGAGGUCAGGUCACGUCACUGUGGCCACACUCCUUCUGUUCAGGGU
rnacentral:lncRNA from 1 species